rnacentral:rRNA from 1 species
GAUGAACGCUGGCGGCGUGCCUAAUACAUGCAAGUCGAGCGAACAGACGAGGAGCUUGCUCCUCUGACGUUAGCGGCGGACGGGUGAGUAACACGUGGAUAACCUACCUAUAAGACUGGGAUAACUUCGGGAAACCGGAGCUAAUACCGGAUAACAUGUUGAACCGCAUGGUUUAACAGUGAAAGACGGUCUUGCUGUCACUUAUAGAUGGAUCCGCGCCGCAUUAGCUAGUUGGUAAGGUAACGGCUUACCAAGGCAACGAUGCGUAGCCGACCUGAGAGGGUGAUCGGCCACACUGGAACUGAGACACGGUCCAGACUCCUACGGGAGGCAGCAGUAGGGAAUCUUCCGCAAUGGGCGAAAGCCUGACGGAGCAACGCCGCGUGAGUGAAGAAGGUCUUCGGAUCGUAAAACUCUGUUAUUAGGGAAGAACAAAUGUGUAAGUAACUAUGCACCUCUUGACGGUACCUAAUCAGAAAGCCACGGCUAACUACGUG